GCACUACUUGGGCCGCAGACACUUUUUUCCCAGAAGCCCAGUGUAAUUUACAAGGGUGAAUAAGUCUUUUUCUCACUUCACAGUUGGGAAUACUGAGACACAGACAAGACUGAAUGAAUCAUAUCUAGCUGCCUCUCAGGGAUAUCUCUAAUGUAUUUAUCUCUGUUUUUCCAGGGAUGCAACAAAACUAGCAAUGAAAAGAAGGUGAAGGAGGUCAUGGGAGAGAAAGAUGCUGUGGAAAGUUGAGAUACCUGUGGAUUCUGCACUACUAAAGUGAGUGGAAGCCAUGUUACGAACUUUAAGAGCAGCUGAGAGCAAUGCUAGAGCUGAUAUUUCCUGCCUUUUCUAACCUUAUGUGACCAAAGAAUUUGUCUUCUGCCCCUUCUGGAAUACUUCUCUUGAGAAGCACCAAGGGAACAUUGAAACUGCAGAUAGUUUUGAACAGUUGCUCUUUGCAGGACAGUUAAUACUGAAACAAAAAUCAAGCACAAGGAUGUCUUUUGGAGGGCUGCUGCCUAGCAGCUGUGCCCAGUUCACUGACCUCGGUGGGAGUUCCUGAGUCCUCUAUGAAUUCAGGUUUUCUACAUGACCUUGGAAAAGUUGGACAGGGGCUGACGCUGCCCUAGAAGUCGGUGGGCUAUAUGCUACAAAGAGAGGAGUAUUAAGACUGCAUUCUUCCUGUACCUCUUGUCUCUUCACCUGUAAAAUGCGGAUAACAAUGCACUCCUACUUCCUCCAGGUGUGGCAAAGCUAAAUCACGUGGUGUUAGCAAAGAUUCUGAUAUCUGAAAAUGCAGCUGCUUCUCUUUGAAUCUCUGCUGAGAUUCUCACAAGCAUGUACUUUGCUCUGGAGGUGAGUUACCCACCAGAGGGCAACAUCACUCUCGCACAUAAAAAUAAUGCAUGCACUACUUGAUCCAAAACUUACCAAAAGCAAAGGGAAGCUUUCCUUUGGCCUUUACAGCAUUGCAUAAAUGCAUUUUUUUACUGUAUUUC
rnacentral:lncRNA from 1 species